rnacentral:lncRNA from 1 species
CUCGGUCACCAAUUUCUCUUUACACAAACUAUCAAUAAUUGUGUUGUGCAUUAACACAUUAAUGUUAACCAAUUUCCCAUCAAUCUUUCUUAAAAAUUGUAAGGCUUCUGUUGUUUUCCCCAUUUUACACAAGCCAUUGAUCAAUAUAGCAUAAGUAACUUGGUUCAAGUGAAAUACAUGUGCAAGCAUAUGAUCGUGAAAGUGCAAAGCUUCCUUGAACUUACCGUUAAGACACAUACCAUUGAUAAGUGUAUUGAAGGUUAUGGUUGUGGGGUGAUGACCUAAUUUGAGAAUCUUAGCAAAUAUAGAAAAGGCAAAAGUCAUCUCACCUAGGUUAUGGUUGUGGGGUGAUGACCUAAUUUGUGUAUUAGCAAUUCUCCUCCUCUUCUGUUGUGAAGUUCCUACAUAACAUUACAGAUUUUAAUUUGAAUUCUCAAGUCGUCUAUUACACGUGAAACAGUCUUAAACCUACCUGAAUCAAAUUGACACGGUUUUAAACCCACCUAGUAUGGAUAAAAACUAAUACAUAAGACUCAUCAUCAACAAGUAAAUUCUCUAGUUCAUUGUUGCUUUGUUUUUUUAUAAUGAUGAUGCUUAUGCUUAUUUAGUGAAUUCUUGUGGUAACUUCAAAUGUAAUAUCAAAAUAGAGGAAACCAUUUCUCUAUGACACAACAAAUAUCAAGAACUUAUUGAGUAAAUUGAUGACUUGGAAAAUUCAGUUAAAUACUUUUCCUAAGCUCGCAGACUGUGUACAUAGUUAUUUAUAAGAUCGAUAAGCUAUAAUCAAAUAUCAAUCUGCAGAUAAGUAAACACUUGUAGCAAAAGUAGCUGAAAUAAGUGUCGGAAAAAACGUUGAUAUUACAAGCUAGACACCUUCGCCCGGAUUCAAACCCGAAACCUCACACUAGUGUAUGUGAGUUUCUGAAACAUGCAAAUUCAUUGAUAAAAGUAGGAAACAUUUACCAUCACCAAUAUCUUACUUUUUGUUCUAUUCAUGCUGUAUUUCUAGUGUAUGUUCCUUCUUUUUUUACCCCUGUACUUAAGUUUAUAUAGUAUGCUAUUUAAUUCUAUAUUAAGCCUGUCACCUAUAUUAUUGUUAAUCCCUAAUAGCAAGUGUCAAAAAAGUCUUUGAAGAUGCAAGGAUCAAAUCAUUUUUUUAUAUCAUUCAUUUUAAUUCCUCAAGCUGCAAAGUAUUGAAUUAAAAAAAGCAUUGAAUUCUAUAUGGUUUUUUGUCAAGCUCUUCCUUGCUUCUUAACUCCAUUACCAUCAUUAGACCACCCAGAAAAUACAUCAGCAGGUUCACCCAAAUCAAUUGUUGUUAGGGUGAGUUACCCUGAUGUGCUAACUAUCAGUUGAAAUUGGACAAGUUUCUUUUUACCAAAUCAAUAAUGUUAGUUUUACCUUGAUAUGCUAACUAUUAGCAUAUAGUAAUUAGGACUGAUAUAAAUCUAUCAAAAUCUAAAAAGAAAUGUAUGAGGUCAUUCAAAAUAGAAAGAUACAAAUACAUAAUGUGAAAUGAAUAUACAAAAGCAAGUACAAACAUGUUUAGUGUUGAUGCCUCAUGAAAUAAGUUGUACGUUUGUUUGUGCAACAAAGGGUCAGAGUUCUGGGAGAUAAUUGAGUAUGAAUGCACAGCUUGGUCCUGUUGUCCAAUUAGAUUCCACAUAUUUUUGGUAACCAAGCAUAUGAUAUCACACUCACGUAUUAUAGCCAUCAGAAAACUCUUGCACUUGAAUCACCCAAUCAAUGUAGCUAACCUCAUAAAUUAUGUCCACGACACUAACACGUCGACACAGGCGAUGAUUUGAAAAAAUGAAAUAAUCAAAUGUAACUAUAAGUGUCGGUGUCGGACACCGACACGAGUCAGAUACUUAACAAAAGAAAGGAAAUGUUUGAAAGAGUUGAAGGGAAGUGAAACAGUGUAAUUCUUUAGAGCAGCUUGAGCAUCAUAAAAGUAAAAAAAAGGCAUUAUUGGAAAAUAAUUAAUAUGUUAUGAUUCUGAGUUCUAAUAAGCUCAAACAUAUUUCUUAAGUCAUAUGAAGUUAUUAAGCUAAAUUAUGUUAGCAACAUAAAUCUGCACUUGGUCAUUAAGUUUUGAAACUUUUCCUUCUUUUUCUUCUCAUUAACACCCUUCCUCUCUUCCUAAUCGAAAGAUAAAUAAACCAUUCAACACUAAUUGGACAUUUUCUCCUCCUUUUUCCCCCCCUUCUAUUAUUUUUUAGUUUCAUUCAACAUUAGAGAAUCUCUGAGUUGGUUAUAGCAAUAAUUAAGCUCCAUGUUUCAUCUAAGUCCUCACUAUGACAAAUCCAUAGUUCAAUCUCAGGAGGCCAAGAACAUCACAAUUCACAAGCCACUUGAAGCUUAAAUAAGGAAACCAGACCAACACCUAAAGCUCAACUACAAUCCUCCUAGUCACCCAUACUAAGGCAUAAACACAACAAAGCUAAAGAUUCAUAAUUCUACUAUAUUAUGAAGGUAACACCAGUAGUGAUUACGCCUUCAUGUGCAAUCCACUGAAGUCCACAAGGAAAUAUACCAGAAUCAUCAAUUAUAAUACACGAAAUUCACCAAAAGCUCAAAGCACAAGUUCAAGAAACAAUAUGGGGACUAGCAGAGAAAAAGCAAGGGCAAGACUAACCGGCAACCUUAGAUCAGAGUACCAAAACAUAAAAUGUACAAAUUAAGCAAAAGAAAUUGUCCUAUGCAGACCAAUAUCUGCUACUGUCCUGUUGAAAGUAGUAAGCCGCAUGCAACCACCUAGAGCGACCCAGAUAUCUAUCAGUAUCACCAAAAAAACAUAAGCUCACAUCAGACCAGAAAAACGUAAAACCUAUACCACCAAACCGAAGCCCAAACCAACAAAGCACCCAAAAAUUCUACAGAAAAUACCAUAUAUAUAACACCUCCCUCAUUCACCGAGCCAAACAGUUCAUUGGAUCUCAAUAACAUAUGCAUAUUUUGAAAUUGAUGGUAUGACAAAAAAAAUUAGUGGUAAAUAUUGUUGCCCUUUCACCCUUCCAACACCUCAAUCCAACACAAAAAUCUCAGCACAUCAAUGCAGCAUGGAUUAUAAUACCGAAAUAUAGAAUAAAACAGAAGCAUCACAGUCCCUCCAGAUCGGAAAAAUAUGUCUUCUAUCAAACCGAAGCUCCAUGGAAGAAAAGAUUGCCAUGGUAGAUGGUCACAUGGAAGAUGUGGUCGAUCAAACUCGAACAACUUCUACUGCACUAUUUGCAGCCAAUGAUGCCUUGGUGUGCUAUGAAACGGGUAUGACCGAAUGAACCAAAGAGAUUCUAAUUAAGGGUCAGCAUAUCCCUAAAAGUAAAUGACUGAAUGAAAAAAUCCUUAACGAAGGUGGUCGAGAGUACAUUGCAAAGAUAACGGAUAACUACAUCAAGACAAAAAAGAAUUCACCAUUAAAUUAACACCAUUCUAAUAUUGAAAUGAACAUAACAACAACACAUGACUCUUGAUUAAAAUUUAAGUGAUAGUGAGAACAUUGAGUAGUCCACCUUAUAUUGUAUAUGCAACUAUCAACAAAAAUAAAUGAAUGAAUCAUAAUGAUACAUAGUUUUCAUCAUAGUAAAAAAAAUUAUAAUUAGAAAGUAUCUUACCUAGAGUUACUCUUCAAGUAGACCUCUAGCAAUCAUUUUCCGAAGAAGUUUCUCUGCCUUUUCAUUCAAGUCUUUAUGAAAGAGAGCCCGGAUAAUAGUUUCAUAAGUUACAGCAUUAGGAAGUAUACCAUUGUCCUCCAUUUUUGACAACAAGGCCUCCACUUCAUCAAAUAAACUCAUUUUACAAAGUCCAUUGAUCAUAAUAGUAUAUGUUCGGAUAUUUAGACUAUAACCUUUAAUCAUAAGAUCUUGAAAAACAUCUCAUGCAUUCUGAAGUCGUCCUCCUUUGCAUAGUCCAUCGAUAAGUAUAUUAUACGCGAACAUAUCUGGUUGAAUCCCUUGAUCUUUGAUUUUAUUAACUAAUGCAAUAGCCUUGUCAACCUGAUAGUUUUUGCAUAAAGAAUUUAUUAAAGAAUUGUAAGUGAAUAUAUUGGGUGGUUGGCCAUUAUCAUGCAUCUCAUCAACAAGCUCCCAAGCACAAGAGAAUCUCCCAGCUUUGCACAAACCAUCAAUGAGCGAACUGUAAGUUAUCGUAUUAGGAGCAAAUCUUCUGCAAUGCAUUUCAUAAAAGAGACUCAAGGCUUCGUCGACCAUUUUAAUCUUACAGAAUCCAUUAAUCAUGAUACUAUAGCUAUCAGCAUCAGGAGCCACUCCUAUUCGAGAAAUAAUGCUUGGAACAUGUCUGGCCUUAUUGAUUUCAUUAACUAGGUGAUGAGAUAAAACCGCAAGUGCAUGGUCUUACCGAAGUAGUAUGAAAAGAGUAUCGUUCCGACAGGGAGUUAUGAAUUCAAUUAACUUUAGAUAAUGAUUAGGCUAAAGUUUUAUAAGGUAGAAAGUUGUAUUUUUAAUUGAAAGAAAAUAAAAAUAAAAGAUAAAAGCCUUCNCGAGUUCAUGUAAUAACUCAAUAUAGAAUAGGAGCAUUGGAAGGCUUUGAUCGAGGAAAACAAGACUUAUACUUUGUAUAAUUGUCAUGCGUUUGAUAAUGACAUUGCAUUUAAUCCCUUUAAGGUUGUUUUUAGUUUUGGUACAAAGAUGUAGAAGUAUGACAAGUUAACUAAUGUUCUUACUCAUGAAUUUCGCUUUAAGUCAUUUAAGAAAAUUCAAGAUGGAAAAUUUAAAACUGACGUUUUAUAUGAUAUAGUUAUGUGCUUUAAUUUAUUUUUGUGUUUUCUCCGAUUAUAUUGUCCUCAUAGAUGUAAUUUUUUUUUUUAAGAAAUCAUCGGGCUUCUGCAUGAGAUUGUCAAGACACUGCCAAUUGGGACUAGAAAGAAACCGUGUAUGAACAUUGUUUUGAAAGAUAAAAGGUAUUAUUUUCUAAUUUUUCAAGAUCAGAUGAUAUAAUUUUAUAUAAGUUUGAUAAUGACCUGAAUGAUGUAUUUACUUAUACAGUGGGCAUAUGGUUGAUGUAACACUAUGGAAAAAAGUACUUCGUAGCUUUAUCAUUUACCAUCUAUAUACAUUGAGUUCUUUGCUUCUAUUUUGUAGUCAAUGGCAACCCAAAUAUAUGUAACAAUUGGUCAGGUUCGAGAAUGCACAUCAACCUACAUCAUCCGGUUGUUGAGAAGUUUAAGACUUAGUAAAUUUGCAUUAUGAUUUCAAAAUACAGUGUUAGAGUAACUUAUAAUUUCACAAUCAGAUUUGAUUGUUAUUUAACCAUGUUUCUUGAAUUGUUGUCGUGACCUUAACACUUCUCAAGCUCAGAGUCAAAGCUUCAGUCAAAACUUAAGUCAGAGUUCGGCUUCUUCUCAACGUACUUCGUACAACGAUUUUUCCAAUUUAUCUCAAGUUAGGGCAAUUAUUGAAUUUACAAACUUAGUCAAGGUUUGCUUUUUUUAUGCACAAACAUGCUUUGAAUUUUUUUACGCACAAAAUAAGAAUACAUAUUGCAUUAUUCUUUAUUUCAUGUGCAUAAUUUGUGUUAGGAAACAUAUUGCAUCACUAUUUGGAAAACAACUAAAUUCAAUCAUAAACAGUUUGGAUGGUAUUAUGAGAGUUGCAUCAAAUGUUCGAAGACAUCAAUGUCAAAUGAUGCUAGCUAUAGAUGCACAUGCGGGAGCGAUGCUUAAUUUCUAUUUGUUUCAACAAUGUUAAUUAGCCAACGGGGUACAUAUAAUCCACAUGCAUGCAUUUAUCUAGGCUUUAUAAGAAGCUAAUAGGAAUAUAAAUUAGAAGUCAUGGUACAUUUUAUUUAGCUUAUGCUACCUUUAUUUUAUAAAUUAUAUGUAACUAUAUUCACAUACAUCUGUUAAUAUGCAUUAGACUAAUGUUGCAAUUAUUUCUCUAUUUAGCAUUUCCUAAACGAGGUGUCAAGAACAAUUCUGAAAGAAAAGCGCAAAACAAUCACUCUCAUUGAUGACCAGACACAGAAAGUAUAAGUGUCGCCUCAUUACCGCCGAAAGAGCAAGCUAUGAAAAAUACUUGGGUGGACAGUGGUUCAAUUUCAGCAGAGAACAUGUGAUGGAAGAAGGUGGUAAGCUCAUCUUUGAUCUCGAAAAGUAAUCGAAGAACUUGCACGUUCGAGUUGUUCAAAAGUAGAUCUUUAUUGCUGAACUAUUUGAACUUCUACUAUUUUGGCGUAUCGUGUAACACCCCGUUUUCCCGACUUAAAAAUUUCAUUUAAUUAAUCAGAGUAUUCAACAUGUAAACGGAAUGCUACACUUCAUAAAAUCAUAAAUAAGUUAAUUAACUAAUUUAUCCUUCAACAUAUUAAUUCAAACUUUGCAGCGGAUUAAAUUCAUAAACAUAAAAAGUCUUGGCACGAAGGCCUCAUCAAAACAUCUCAUAAAAAUCCAAUUAACAACUUAAUCAUGUAAAUUUAUAAACAAUACGUAAGGAAUAGAAAAGCAUGCAACAAAGUUCCCAUCCCGUUACGUAUCAGAGCACCUAAACGACUCAGUGAGGGAUAGCCACUCACGANUCGACUUAAAAUCUAAGCUAUUACAUUUGGGCUAAAAAUAUAGUAGCUUAAAAUCUAAGCAAAAGCAGCAAAAGACACUCUGGAGGGUGGCACGGUCGUGCCAAGGCUGGCACGGCCGUGUCAAGGCUAGCACGGGCCGUGCCAAGCUUCUGACUUGUGGGAGACAUAUUUUUUGUCUUUCAAUCUUCGUAUUUUUGCAUCCAAUCGACUCCAAGUCCCUUUCUUUUGCUCCAAGAUUCAAUACAUCAAAUAUUCUUUCCUGAAAUAUAAUAAAAUGCAAUUUAAAGUAAACUAUCCUAAAAAGGAAAUAAUACUAAUAUAAAAUAUAUAAAAUUUAAAUAAAACUAAACUAAAAAGCAUAUUAAAAUAGUCAAUAAAUGACUCAUCACUAGGCAAUGUCCAUCCAUUAUUGAAUUGUAGGUAACUACAUCCGGUAUUACACCUUCUUUCAUCAUAACGGCUAACAGAUUCAUAGCUCCUUUCACAUUUCCUUCCUUACAAAGAGCAUCAACCAAUAUAUUAAAAGUAUAAACAUUUGGGUGGAUGUUUGUCAAUAGCAUUUCAUGGAACAAACAAAAUGCUUUUUUCAGUUGACCAACAAUGCAAAAUCCAUAUAUUAGAGAGCUCAAAGUAACAACAUAAGGAGAAAAUUUCUUUACAAUCAUUUGAGAAUAUAACUCAUAAGCCUCAGUCACAAAUAUCUCUUUACACAAACUAUCAAUGAUUGUGCUAUACAUUACCACAUCAGUGUUAACCAAUUUCCCAUCAAUCUUUCUCAACACUUGUAAGGCUUCAGUUGUUUUUCCCAUUUUACACAAGCCAUUGAUCAAAGUACCAUAAGUAACUUGGUUCAAGGGAAAUCCAAGUGCAAUCACAUGGUCGUGAAAGUGUAGAGCUUCCUUGACUUUACCGUUAAGACACAUACCUUUGACAAGUGUAUUCAAGGUGACGGUAUUUGGCUGAAAACCCAUCUUAAGAAUAUUGCCAAAUAUAGAAAAGGCAAAAUUCAUUUGACCAAGAUGACAGUAACAAUUGAUCAAG